UCCAAGGUAGCUCAGCUGGUAGAGCAUGCGACUGUUACUCGCGUGGUCGGGGGUUCGAUGCCCUCCCUUGGAG
rnacentral:tRNA from 1 species